rnacentral:rRNA from 1 species
AGUGAACGCUGGCGGUAGGCCUAACACAUGCAAGUCGAACGGCAGCACAGUAAGAGCUUGCUCUUACGGGUGGCGAGUGGCGGACGGGUGAGGAAUACAUCGGAAUCUACUUUUUCGUGGGGGAUAACGUAGGGAAACUUACGCUAAUACCGCAUACGACCUACGGGUGAAAGCAGGGGAUCUUCGGACCUUGCGCGAUUGAAUGAGCCGAUGUCGGAUUAGCUAGUUGGCGGGGUAAAGGCCCACCAAGGCGACGAUCCGUAGCUGGUCUGAGAGGAUGAUCGGCCACACGGGAACUGAGACACGGUCCAGACUCCUACGGGAGGCAGCAGUGGGGAAUAUUGGACAAUGGGCGCAAGCCUGACCCAGCAAUCCCGCGUGGGUGAAGAAGGCCUGCGGGUUGUAAAGCUCUUUUUUUGGGAAAGAAAAGCAGCGGGUUAAUCCCCCGCUGUCCUGACGGUACCCAAAAAAAAAGCCCCGGCUAACUUCGUG